rfam:Ictidomys tridecemlineatus contig031522, whole genome shotgun sequence.
GUGGGUGUAGCUCAGUGGAAGAGCACCUGCCUGGCAUGCAUGGGAUCCUGGGUUCCAUCCCCAGCAUCACCA